UUCCCUAGUAGCGGCGAGCGAGCGGGAAGAGCUCAAAUUUAUAAUCUGGCACCUUCGGUGUCCGAGUUGUAAUCUCUAGAAGUGUUUUCCGCGUUGGACCGCACACAAGUCUGUUGGAAUACAGCGGCAUAGUGGUGAAACCCCCGUAUAUGGUGCGGACGCCCAGCGCUUUGUGAUACAUUUUCAAUGAGUCGAGUUGUUUGGGAAUGCAGCUCAAAUUGGGUGGUAAAUUCCAUCUAAAGCUAAAUAUUGGCGAGAGACCGAUAGCGAACAAGUACCGUGAGGGAAAGAUGAAAAGCACUUUGGAAAGAGAGUUAACAGUACGUGAAAUUGUUGGAAGGGAAACGCUUGAAGUCAGACUUGCUUGCCGGAGCUUGCUUCGGUUUGCAGGCCAGCAUCAGUUUUCCGGGGUGGAUAAUGACGGUUUGAAGGUAGCAGUCUCGGCUGUGUUAUAGCUUUCCGUUGGAUACAUCCUGGGGGACUGAGGAACGCAGCGUGCUUUUUGCGAAAGACUCGUCUUUUUCACGCUUAGGAUGCUGGUGGAAUGGCUUUAAACGACCCGUCUUGAACAACGGACCA
rnacentral:rRNA from 1 species